UACGGGGGGGAGCAAGCGUUGUUCGGAUUUACUGGGCGUAAAGGGCGCGUAGGCGGUCGUGACAAGUCACUUGUGAAAUCUCCGGGCUUAACUCGGAACGGUCAAGUGAUACUGUCGGACUAGAGUACAGAAGGGGCAACUGGGAAUUCUCGGUGUAGCGGUGAAAUGCGUAGAUAUCGAGAGGGAACACCUGCGGCGAAGGCGGGUCUCUGGGCAGUAACUGACGCUGAGGAGCGAAAGCGUGGGGAGCGAACAGG
rnacentral:rRNA from 1 species